rnacentral:rRNA from 1 species
AACGAACGCUGGCGGCAGGCUUAACACAUGCAAGUCGAACGCCCCGCAAGGGGAGUGGCAGACGGGUGAGUAACACGUGGGGAUCUGCCCAAUGGUACGGAAUAAUUCCGGGAAACUGGGACUAAUACCGUAUGUGCCCGCAAGGGGAAAGAUUUAUCGCCAUUGGAUGAACCCGCGUCGGAGUAGCUAGUUGGUGUGGUAAAGGCGCACCAAGGCGACGAUCCGUAGCUGGUCUGAGAGGAUGAUCAGCCACACUGGGACUGAGACACGGCCCAGACUCCUACGGGAGGCAGCAGUGGGGAAUAUUGGACAAUGGGCGCAGGCCUGAUCCAGCCAUGCCGCGUGAGUGAUGAAGGCCUUAGGGCUGUAAAGCCCUUUCGCCGACGAAGAUAAUGACGGUAGUCGGAGAAGAAGCCCCGGCUAACUUCGUGCCAGCCGCCGCCGUAAUAC